UAGGUAGAGAAGGUGUUCCAAAC
rnacentral:piRNA from 1 species